rnacentral:rRNA from 1 species
GACGAACGCUGGCGGCGUGCUUAACACAUGCAAGUCGAACGGGCCCGCCCCUGUUUUUGGGGGUGGGUUGAGUGGCGAACGGGUGAGUAUCACGUGAUUAACCUCCCCCCUGUUCCUGGAUAACUGUUUGAAAGGGCGGCUAAUACGGGGCGUGCCGGCUGGUCCGCAUGGGCCUGGUCGGGAUAGUUUCAUCUUCGGGUGUUUCGGCGGGUGAUGGGCUCGCGGCGUGAUAGCUUGUUGGCGGGGUGAUGGCCCACCAGGGCGGUGAUGGGUGGCCGGCCAGAGUGGGUGGGCGGCCGCGAUGGGAGUGAGACACGGGCCAGACUCGUGCGGGAGGCGGCAGUGGGGGGUAUUGCACGGUGGGAGGAAGCCUGAUGCAGCGACGGCGCGUGAGGGAUGGAGGCCUUCGGGUUGGGAACCUCUUUCUGCGGUGGUGGAGGCCCUGUCCGUUGCGGCGUGAUUGACGGUAGCCGCAUAUGAAGCACCGGCUAACUACGUG